rnacentral:rRNA from 1 species
CCUACGGGAGACAGCAGUGAGGAAUAUUGGUCAAUGGACGAGAGUCUGAACCAGCCAAGUAGCGUGAAGGAUGACUGCCCUAUGGGUUGUAAACUUCUUUUAUCGGGGAAUAACAUGUUACACUUGUGCGCUUUUGUAUGUACCUUAUGAAUAAGGAUCGGCUAACUCCGUGCCAGCCGCCGCGGUAAUACGGAGGAUCCGCUCGUUAGCCGGAUUUAUUGGGUUUAAUGGGAUCGUCGGUGGAGUGUUAAGUCAGGUGUGAAAGUUUGCGGCUCAACCGUCAAAUUGCAGUUGAAACUGGCAGGCUUGAGUACAGUAGAGGUGGGCAGAAUUCGUGGUGUAGCGGUGAAAUGCUUAGAUAUCACGAAGAACUCCGAUUGCGAAGGCAGUUCACUGGACUGCAACUGACACUGAGGCUCGAAAGUGUGGGUAUCAAACAGGAUUAGAUACCCCAGUAGUC